rnacentral:rRNA from 1 species
AGAGUUUGAUCCUGGCUCAGAACGAACGCUGGCGGCAGGCUUAACACAUGCAAGUCGAACGAUGUAGCAAUACAUAGUGGCGCACGGGUGAGUAACGCGUGGGAAUAUACCUUAUAGUGGGGAAUAACUUUGGGAAACUAAAGCUAAUACCGCAUACGCCCGAGAGGGGAAAGAUUUAUCGCUAUAAGAUUAGCCCGCGUGAGAUUAGGUAGUUGGUGGGGUAAUGGCCUACCAAGCCUACGAUCUCUAGCUGGCCUGAGAGGAUGAUCAGCCACACUGGAACUGAGACACGGUCCAGACUCCUACGGGGGGCAGCAGUGGGGAAUAUUGGGCAAUGGACGAAAGUCUGACCCAGCCAUGCCGCGUGAAUGAUGAAGGCCUUAGGGUUGUAAAGUUCUUUCGCCGAUGAAGAUAAUGACGGUAGUCGGAGAAGAAGCCCCGGCUAACUUCGUGCCAGCAGCCGCGGUAAUACGAAGGGGGCUAGCGUUGUCCGGAAUUACUGGGCGUAAAGCGAGCGUAGGUUGCUCGAUAAGUCAGUGGUGAAAGCCCAGAGCUCAACUCUGGAACUGCCAUUGAAACUGUCGAGCUGGAAUCUCAGAGGGGGUAGCGGAAUUCCAAAUGUAGGGGUGAAAUCCGUAGAUAUUUGGAGGAACACCGGUGGCGAAGGCGGCUACCUGGAUGAGUAUUGACACUGAGGCUCGAAAGCGUGGGGAUCAAACAGGAUUAGAUACCCCGGUAGUCC